AUUGAACGCUGGCGGCAGGCCUAACACAUGCAAGUCGAACGAGUGGCGGACGGGUGAGUAACGUCUGGGAAACUGCCCGACGGAGGGGGAUAACUACUGGAAACGGUAGCUAAUACCACAUACCAUCGGAUGUUCCCAGAUGGGAUUAGCUAGUAGGUGGGGUAACGGCUCACCUAGGCGACGAUCCCUAGCUGGUCUGCGAGGAUGACCAGCCACACUGGAACUGAGACACGGUCCAGACUCCUACGGGAGGAAGCAGUGGGGAAUAUUGCGCAAUGGGCUCAAGCCUGAUGCAGCCCUGCCGCGUGUAUGAAGAAGGCCUUCGGGUCGUAAAGUACUUUCAGCGAGGAAGCGUUACUCGCAGAAGAAGCACCGGCUAACUCCGUGCCAGCAGCCGCGGUAAUUC
rnacentral:rRNA from 1 species